AACGAACGCUGGCGGCAGGCUUAACACAUGCAAGUCGAGCGCCCCGCAAGGGGAGCGGCAGACGGGUGAGUAACGCGUGGGAACGUACCCUUUGCUACGGAAUAGCUCCGGGAAACUGGAAUUAAUACCGUAUGUGCCCUACGGGGGAAAGAUUUAUCGGCAAAGGAUCGGCCCGCGUUGGAUUAGCUAGUUGGUGGGGUAAUGGCCUACCAAGGCGACGAUCCAUAGCUGGUCUGAGAGGAUGAUCAGCCACACUGGGACUGAGACACGGCCCAGACUCCUACGGGAGGCAGCAGUGGGGAAUAUUGGACAAUGGGCGCAAGCCUGAUCCAGCCAUGCCGCGUGAGUGAUGAAGGCCUUAGGGUUGUAAAGCUCUUUCAGUAGGGAAGAUAAUGACGGUACCUACAGAAGAAGCCCCGGCUAACAUCGUGCCAGCCGCCGCAGUAAUAC
rnacentral:rRNA from 1 species